UUUACAUUUGUGCAUCUGCAUUUCCCCCGUGGGCAGCAGCAGCAGGAACGCGGCUCCCUCUGGAAGCGCAGGGGCUGGAAUUCGCCUGGCUGCUCCUCCACCAGCAAGGACAUGUGCAUUUCACUUUUUGGAGGACAAGGGGCAGGCAAAGGACAGAAAGGAAGAAAACUCUUGGAUUAAAAAAAAGGAGAAUUGGGAAAA